rnacentral:rRNA from 1 species
UACGAAGGGGGCUAGCGUUGUUCGGAAUUACUGGGCGUAAAGCGCACGUAGGCGGGUUGUUAAGUCAGGGGUGAAAUCCUGGAGCUCAACUCCAGAACUGCCUUUGAUACUGGCAACCUAGAGACUGGAAGAGGUUAGUGGAAUUCCCAGUGUAGAGGUGAAAUUCGUAGAUAUUGGGAAGAACACCGGUGGCGAAGGCGGCUCUCUGGACCGAGACUGACGCUGAGGCGCGAAAGCUAGGGGAGCAAACGGG